AAGUAGAUACUGUUCUUAUUUUCAUUUUACAGGUGGGGAAAUCGGAGCACAGAGAAGACAACUAACUGGCCCCAAGUCCCCCAGCUAGUAAGCUGUAAGCUGCAGAGUUGGGAUUUGAGACCAGGCAGGCAGCUACAAAUGAGGCCUCUCUGAAAACAAACCACACCCAAGAUUGCUCUUGAGGCAAAAGAAGUCAUGUGGGUGGAAUUUUUAUCUUCUGUUCCUACCUUUCCUCUUUCCAGAGAGAGAGAAAGCACGAGAAGGGGAGGGGCACAGAGAGAAGGAGAGAGAGAAUCCCAAGCAAGGCCCCACGCUGUCAGCACAGAGCCCAUCGUGGGGCUUGAUGCCAUGAACCAAACUGUGAGAUCAUGACUUGAGCAGAAAUCAAGAAUUAGACACUUAACUGACUGAGCCACCCAGAUGCCCCUGAAAUAUCAAUUUUUAAUGUUUUUUUACUACUAUAAAUAGUACUGUGAUAAUAAAUAUUCUUAUUUUAAAUA